AGGCAGGGAGCAGGAGGAGUGCGUACGGUUUCGGCCCGUGAGGAUGGGGGUAAAAUCCCCCCUUGCCUU
rnacentral:tRNA from 1 species